CUGGGUCAUUGUGAGGUCACAGUCUUGGGGAUCUCCCUUGGGUUCCAGGUACUUCCUGGGCCAGGCCAUUGAGGUUAUUGAGAUAGGGAUGGCUGGGUAUGUUGACAUCUGAACCACGGGUAGGCUGUGCCUCCAUGUGCUUGCCCCUCCAGAGUGUCCUGGGUUCUACUUCCCCGCCAGCUUCGGGCCAUGCCUGCUCUACGUAGUCCCCUCUUCCCAAGCAGUGACUGGACCCAGUUCAGAAACCUCCCUGGGCUCUGACAGUGAUUCUAGCCAGUGUGCUGGGGGCCUUCUUCAAGUUCCUUUAAGAUGCUGUGGACACAAGGAUUCUGAAAGCUAGAGCGGAGGAGAAGGCAUUCCCGGUGGGGGGCACAGCGUGUGCACAUACAAAGGUGGGAGAUGGAACGCCCUCCAGGCCCUGGACAGCUGGACAGGGCUACCUGGCCACUCUGGGAAUCCUCUUCGUCACCAGCAGGCCUCGAUGCAGCGCUGCCCCCUCUCCCCCCAUUCAAUAAACUCUG